CAGAGAUCAGGGUGGUGCAUCUACAAGACAAGAAACACCACCAGACCAGAAGCUGGGGAAAGGCAUGGAACAGCCCCCCUACAGCCCUCAGAAGGAGUCAGCCCCUCUCCUGAACUAAACCUCAGUAAAAUACAAGCGAGAAAAAAGAAGUGGCUCAAAUCCACAUGGCCAAGGACACCUGGAGAGGAGAUGACAGCAAAAACCAAGACCUGGAAGGUGAACUACAGCUGACUUAGCAGACCAGAGAGCUGAAACAGACCUGCAGCAGAGAGAGCCACAGACACUAGCUGUUUUCCCUAAGGAACCCUGGAAACCCAGCUGAGCUAUUCAAGUUACAGGACCCCCAGAAGGCAAGGAAAACAGGAGGACUAGUUGGAAGACCUAUGCAAUGUGACCACACAUGGAACUGUACAUCAGAAAAUCGGAUCCAAGUCCAGAUUUGGAUGCUGAAUUUUUCUAUGCCUGGAAGAAGCUACUUAUGCCUCUGAACUCAAUUUCUCCAUAACCAAUAAGGAAAUUUAUA